rnacentral:rRNA from 1 species
AAAUGAAUAGACGGGGACCCGCACAAGCAGCGGAGCAUGUGGUUUAAUUCGAAGCAACGCGAAGAACCUUACCAGGGCUUGACAUCCCUCUGACGUCCCGGAUAACGACGGGAGUUCUUCGGACAGAGGAGACAGGUGGUGCAUGGUUGUCGUCAGCUCGUGUCGUGAGAUGUUGGGUUAAGUCCCGCAACGAGCGCAACCCUUGCUGUUAGUUGCCAUCAUUAAGUUGGGCACUCUAACGGGACUGCCGGGGAUAACUCGGAGGAAGGUGGGGAUGACGUCAAAUCAUCAUGCCCCUUAUGUUCUGGGCUACACACGUGCUACAAUGGUCGGUACAAAGAGUCGCAAGACCGCAAGGUGGAGCCAAUCUCAAAAACCGAUCCCAGUUCGGAUUGCAGGCUGAAACCCGCCUGCAUGAAGCAGGAGUUGCUAGUAAUCGUGAAUCAGAAUGUCACGGUGAAUGCGUUCCCGGGUCUUGUACACACCGCCCGU